rnacentral:rRNA from 1 species
UACGUAGGGUGCAAGCGUUAAUCGGAAUUACUGGGCGUAAAGCGUGCGCAGGCGGUUGUGCAAGACCGAUGUGAAAUCCCCGGGCUUAACCUGGGAACUGCAUUUGUGACUGGCGGGCUAGAGUAUGGCAGAGGGGGGGUAGAAUUCCACGUGUAGCAGUGAAAUGCGUAGAGAUGUGGAGGAAUACCGAUGGCGAAGGCAGCCCCCUGGGCCAAUACUGACGCUCAUGCACGAAAGCGUGGGGAGCAAACAGG